rnacentral:rRNA from 1 species
AACUAAACAGGAUUCCCUUAGUAAUGGCGAAUGAACAGGGAUGAGCUCAGCAUGGAAAUCGGGGUCUCCCGACCUUGAAUUGUAGUCUGUAGAUGUACUGCCAACGGAGGCGCAGAUGUAAGCCUCUUGGAAAAGAGCAUCAACGAGGGUGAGAGUCCCGUUUGUCAUCUGCAGUCCCCCGUGCACGGUGUGCCUUCUAAGAGUCACGUUCCUCGGGAUUGGAGCGCAAAGUGGGUGGUAAAUUUCAUCUAAAGCUAAAUAUUGGUUCGAGACCGAUAGCAAACAAGUACCAUGAGGGAAAGGUGAAAAGGACUUUGAAAAGAGAGUUAAAAGUGCCUGAAAUUGCUGAAAGGGAAGCGAAUGGAACCAGUGUUCUUGAUGAGAUUGUUGCGUACUCUGGUGAUUGCUGGGUGUUCCACCGCAAGGGGGGCAUCUAGUUUUGAGCUAGAUGUGCGUGGUGUUUCUUGUCUUGUGUGUCACCGUCGGUGCACGAGCGAGUAAACCUCCAGGGGGCUGGUAACUCGACCACGGUUGAGUGAAUACCUUUGGCAGUACUCAUUUGUGUAUCGAUCCCUGCGUGUCUGGUUGCAGUGUUUGGGUCGCCUGGAAACUCCUGAAGGGCUUGUCCUCGAAGGAGUCCUUUUGGGCGCCCUGAGCAUCUCCCUGACACAAAGACGAUGACU